rnacentral:lncRNA from 1 species
AUUCAUAUACAUAACUCCAAAGAUCCUCCUAAAUACUGCUGAGGAGUCAGCAUUAUUCCAUACUAGCACAUAUAUUAGUGGUUCAACUUUUUAAGAUUUUGAUCGAGUAGGACUACUAUUUGUACUCAUAAGUUGUUUUCGAUGAUGGGGCUUCCGAAUCGACGAUUCAUUCCGUUAAAUAUGAUCUAGAGUAUUUGAAACUUCUAAAAAAUAAAUUUCGUAAUUUUUCGAAAUCAUAAUAAAAUCCAUCAAACGGGGUAUAAAAUGAAUGGUCAAAAUCGAACGACGUCCUAAAAACGAAUGAUCAGAUCCUUUAAUUUAAGAUCGGAGUUAUUGAUCUUUAUCUAGGUAGUGAAUUGAAUUUUCUAUCAAAAAUUCAAUCUAUUCUAAUUUUUUUACACUGUUAAACUAACAAGUAUCCCAUACUGGCCGUUAAAAAUUGUCAAUUUUGUGAGCUUUUGAUUGUAAGGUAAAUGAUGUCGAAAAAUUAUAAAAUUUGAUUUCUAAAAGUUUUAAAUACUCUAGAUAAUAUUUAACAGUAUGGAUCGUCGAUUCGGAAGCUUUUUCAUCAAAAAUAACUUAUGAAUACGAGGGCGAUCAUACUCAUAAGAGUAUAGUAGCCGGACUCUUUGAUCUUGACCUAAUAAUCAAUGUCAAUACUUUAUUUCUCUCGUGGCCAUUUCAUGUAAACUAUUUUCACACUUAAAUUUCAAUCUCUCUCUCUCUCUCUCUCUCUCUCUCUCUCUCUCUCUCUCUCUCUCUCAUUCCUAAGGACAUUCAUGUACUACAAUAGUACACCAACACAUGUGUGGGUUUGAAGAGUGGGGGAUCAAAUGAACCAAUGCCCUACCCAACCCCAUGUGACCAAUUUGUUUUCUUCUCACAGGGUUUUUGGUGAAUAUAUAUAUAUAUAUAUAUAUAUAUAUAUAUAUAUAAAGUCCGGCUACUAUACUUUUAUGAGUAUUGACUUCCUUAUACUUAUAAGUUUUUGACUCUUAGAUUUAUUUUAUUAAUCAUUUUCAUCCGUUAGAUCAUACUAUUUAACCAACUACCCACUCAACCCUAGGAGACCACUAUUAUUUUAAGUGGGGACCACUAUCAUCCUAACCACACAUCCCAUCAAUCAACGGUUAAAAAUUUAUGAGUACAAAAGGGUCUAUACUCAUAAGAGUAGAGUCGUCCCAGCCUAUAUAUAUAUAUAUAUAUAUAUAUAUAUAUAUAUAUAUAUAUAUAUGAGUUGAGCUAGAAUACUAUCGAUAGUAAACUGGCACUUUUGCCACCCAUUUGUUUUCGGUGAUGGAGCCUCCAAAUCGACGAUCGGCACCGUUGAACACGAUCUAUACCACUUGAAUUAUUUAGAAAUUAAAUUUCAAAUCUUUUCGACAUUAUUUGCCUAAUGAUCAAAGGGUUUCAAAUUUUAUAAUUUUAAUGGUCGAUAUGAGGUAUUUUUUCGUUUAACGGCGUAAAGAUAUCCAAAUCAAUUAAAUUUUUGUUAGAAAAUUUUUUAAACUAUUUAAAACAAGAUCUAUACUCUUGAUCUUGAUUACAAGACUCCUAUCAUCAUUUUUUUAAGAAUAUUCAUUUUCAGCCGUUCAUUUUUGUGUCCACUCGAUGGAUAAGAGAACAAUAUCGAAAAUGUAUGAAAUUUGAUUUCUAAAUACUUCAAAUGGUAUAGAUCAUGUUCAACGGUGCCGAUCAUCAAUUUGGAGGCUCCAUCAUUGAAAACAAAUGGGUGGCAAAAGUGCUGGUUUGCUAUCGAUAGUAUUCUAGCUCAACUCUCUCUAAAUAUAUAUAUAUAUAAGCUGGGGCUACUAUACUCCUAUGAGUAUAGACCCCCUUGUACUCAUAAAUUUUUAACCUCUCAACCCUAGGGGACCACUAUUAUUUUAAGUGGGGACUACCAUCAUCCUAACCAUACAUCCCCAUCAAUCAACGGUUAAAAAUUUAUAAGUACAAGGGGAUCUAUACUUAUAAGAGUAUAGUAGCCCCAGUCUAUAUAUAUAUAUAUAUAGAAUUAGGCUGGAAUACUAUUAAUAGUAAAACGCUCAUUUUGCUAUCAAGUUUUUAACCUUUGAAUGAAAAAUUGUAGAGUUAGGAUGAUAUUAGUCGGUUAGAGUUGAGUGGUCUCCCUAGGGUUGAGUGGUCUUCACUGGGUUAUAGUAUUUAAUCCAAUGGUUAGAAAUAAUGAAAAGAGUUGAUCCAAAGGCUAAAAAACUAGUAGCAACAAUGAGAUUUUGCUACUAAUAGUAGCCCAGUCCAACUCUCUCUCUCUCUCUCUCUCUCUCUCUCUCUCUCUCUCUCUCUCUCUCUCUAUAUAUAUAUAUAUAUAU